CUAGUAGGUCCUGCCUCCUUGCAGGCUGUUGCUAGGCGGCCCAAGGCAGCGGGUCGGUGUGGGCGGCUGCACGCCGUGGUAAAGAGAAGGCGGUUCUUUGGCUCCUCGCCGCGCUUGGCACCGGGACUCGCCUCCUCCAUCAGGCUCCCGGCUGCGAGCGAAGGGAAUCCCGUGAGCUGAGGCAGCCGGGCGGUGGCGCCCGACAGACGAGCGUAGACUUCACCAGUCUGGUAGAGAGAAGCAGCGGAUCGACCUGACCGCGGAGCAUCGCUUUACCUCAAAAAAGAAUUGUGCGUUCCGAGCCACCCGCAUCUCCAGUCCCUAAGGAGAAAUACUGAAUCGACUCGGAAGGCUCUGCAUCAGUAAGAUUACUUCUCUGUAGGGAAAAUGAAAAAGUCCUCAGAUACAGCAGGUUCUGGUGCUCCAAAUUCAGAUAGUCAGCUCCCAGAAAAAUUCCACAGGACACAUUCGGCACGCGCUGCAAAGAUAAAGGCAAGAAAAGAUAAUAGAGAGAUUUCAGCAGCAAAAAUACAGAAAGCCUGGUUCAUUUAUGUGGACAAAACAUUGUUUAAACUCCUAAAACAUACAGUUUGUGCAGCGGAAUAUUGUGUGGCACAUGAACUACUGAAGAAAGUAAGCCCCGUAGAGGCUGCACUUUUGAAAGAUCCUAGCAUGAAGUGUAAAGUCAGAUUCAGAUUGACUGGUGAAACGUUUCCACCUUGCAUCGUGUUUAAAAUUUUUUUUAAAGGUGAUACCCACAGUUACAAGUAUUUCAGCGGGAAAAAUUUACUAAAGCCGUCAAGUAAGGCAGUGGCUGAUGCUUAUAAGAUAAUGGGGGAAAGGAAAUUUUAUCAACAAAUUAUGCAAGAUGAGUAUUUUUUCCAGAAGUUCAAAAUAGCCGAUCGUAUGGAUAUUGUCACAGUGCAAGAUUACAUGCAAUACUGCAGUCUUAUAGAUGAGACCCCUGCAUCUUCUGGUGGCAAGAAUAACCACUGGCGAAGAUUAAAUCUCAGAAGCAUUCCCAAGACAAUGAUGAUGUAUGACAUAGUUGAUUAUGCGGAGUCUGGAGUAAUCUCAGACCGUUUACAAAAAGAAAUGAAGUAUUUGUUACAGAAACCACAAACGGAAGAGAUGCGUCAGCACCAGCUAGACAUAGUUUCUAAAGUUAGGUAUCCAUCCAUUGCAACUGUCCGUCCCUUUUACCAGCCCUGGGAACAGCAAAAGAAAAUGAAACAUCUGGGUCGUCGAUCCAAGCAAGCACAAAAGAAGGUUGAAAAAAUGAAAAAAGCCUAUAUGGAAACUAAAGAAAAAUUGGCUUCCUCCCAGGAACCAUUAGCAAGCACGUCACAAAUAAAGAAGAAGGUCAUCUUCUACACUCCAUCUUUUGAAAUUUUGAAAGUUGAUGAACUGAUAGACAGCGACUUGGAAAGUGAAGAAAAAGAAUUAUUCGCCUGGUAUCAAGACCUAUAUGUUAAACAUUCUUCCUUGUUUUGAAAUACUAAUUGACAGAAAGCAAAAGUUGUUAGACAAUAUUAUUCUCUGUCUAUAAAUAAAGAGCAA
rnacentral:lncRNA from 14 species